rnacentral:rRNA from 1 species
AUUGAACGCUGGCGGCAGGCCUAACACAUGCAAGUCGAACGGUAACAGGAAGAAGCUUGCUUCUUUGCUGACGAGUGGCGGACGGGUGAGUAAUGUCUGGGAAACUGCCUGAUGGAGGGGGAUAACUCCUGGAAACGGUAGCUAAUACCGCAUAACGUCGCAAGACCAAAGAGGGGGACCUUCGGGCCUCUUGCCAUCGGAUGUGCCCAGAUGGGAUUAGCUAGUAGGUGGGGUAACGGCUCACCUAGGCGACGAUCCCUAGCUGGUCUGAGAGGAUGACCAGCCACACUGGAACUGAGACACGGUCCAGACUCCUACGGGAGGCAGCAGUGGGGAAUAUUGCACAAUGGGCGCAAGCCUGAUGCAGCCAUGCCGCGUGUAUGAAGAAGGCCUUCGGGUUGUAAAGUACUUUCAGCGGGGAGGAAGGGAGUAAAGUUAAUACCUUUGCUCAUUGACGUUACCCGCAGAAGAAGCACCGGCUAACUCCGUG